AAUAAAAGCCGUUAUUCCUACGGCACAUCGGACUGUUUGAAGGUAAAGGUAAACGUAAUAAACAGCCUUUUGAUAAUUACAGAAUAUUAUUUCAAAUUCACAAAUCUACUUGCGUAAAUUUAGUUGAGCUAUUAACCCAUCAAGUAAAAAUGAAGAUUUUGUUUAUAAUUCUGACAAUUGCAGUGUUUGCUUCCGAAUUGGAUGCGUGUCAAGAUGAGGGUAGUUGGUGUAACAAGGUUAGUAAACCUUGUUGUGAUGGUUACUAUUGCGAUAAAUGGCUAGGAGACGGAUUAUGUUACUCAAGUACACCAACAGAAAAUCCAGCCGAGAAUGCCCACAGCCUACUGGACUUCUAUAACAUCCUGGAAAAAACCGGGCAAAUCGGGAAUUAAAUGAUUCAUACGUAAAUGCCAUCGUAUAUUAUUUUGUUGUAUUUACUAAUAUCCCAAAAGCAGAUUUUAUUAGUUUUCUGAUAAAUUGGCAUCAAAAUAUGUACUUUUUCGAUAAAAUUAUACAUCAUAAUACAAUAUUAUAAAUAAUUGUCAUUUGUAUUUAUAAUUUUAAAAAAAUUGAAAAUAAACUAA